rnacentral:rRNA from 1 species
UACGUAGGGUGCAAGCGUUAAUCGGAAUUACUGGGCGUAAAGCGUGCGCAGGCGGUUAUGUAAGACAGGGGUGAAAUCCCCGGGCUUAACCUGGGAACUGCAUUUGUGACUGCAUAGCUAGAGUACGGCAGAGGGGGACGGAAUUCCGCGUGUAGCAGUGAAAUGCGUAGAUAUGCGGAGGAACACCGAUGGCGAAGGCAAUCCCCUGGGCCUGUACUGACGCUCAUGCACGAAAGCGUGGGGAGCAAACAGG